UGUUUGUCAUGACGUUAGUUUUAUUGCUGUUUUCGGUCGGUGGAUGAGCACAGUGAUCACAGUGACUGACAGCAUGGAGACCCUCUCAGGGGUCAGAGGUCGAUGACACACAGUGACAUCAUCAGGGCUCGAAGCUAACGUUACAUCGUCGACAAGUUUUGUUUGUUUUUUUUUUAUUGGCUGGUGACUCGUUAACGUGGAGCCCCGAGUGUCAUUAGUACACAGCUACUCAUUAAUGAAGCUACUUUAAUCACCUUAAAUCCAUCGAUUAAAAUACGGUUAUGAAUGGAAGACUGAAGGUUCACAGGAAGUCACAACAGACACGUUACACAACGCCGCCGGGACGGAUGAGUUUGGGCUGGAAACACAAACGCCAAAAAAAACAUCUUCAGGUCGAAAACGAGACUUUGUUUUACGGGAAGCUUGAAACAGAAAUAAAGACAUAAAAUAAAAUAAAAUAAAACAAAUUUUAAAAAAUAAAACGAUAAAAAUCAGGUGUAAUGAAAAAUAGUUGAUUUAAAAUUUAAAAUAAAUUCCUCAAGUUUUAACUUCUUGAAAAAAUGUAAGAAGAAAUAAAUCUGUGGGCCAACCACAUUUCCCAUGAUGCUCUGAGGGACACUAACCGUAAGUCAGUGACAGUUUUUAAUUUACUGUAAGCUCAUUUUUCAUUUUAUCACUUAACAUGAACGAGUUGUUUAACAUGUUAUGUUGUUUGAUGUUUUUGUUCUUUUUAUUUUUUUUCAGUCCCGUUGUUCGCUUUUCCGGCGGCGUUUCCAGCCCGAACUCGAAGGACGGGAGUUCCCAUCGGAGGAGAGCGCCUCCUGCUGGCUCCAAUGAGCCGACCUCAGCUUCCCAAAAAACUCAAAGGUUGAUGCUGAGUGGUUGCUAGGAGACAGAGCUGUAGACACGCCCCCGCAGACUGCUGAUUGGUGGGAUGAGACGCGGAGCCGUACGCAGGACGUCCCGCCGACCCUGCGUUCGGCUCGGCGGCCGUUACGGGCUCGAGAGUUAAGACAACAACGACGUAAGGCAACGCUUGGCAUCAGGCUGAGUCCUCCGGCUCUCAUCUCCCCGCCAGCCAACUGCAGGUAAAAAAAUUUAAGAAAAGGUUCUUCUUCUUCUAACGUUAAAAUCGGCCGUUUCUUGGGCUGCUAAUCAACACGGUGCCGACUAGAGCUGCAGCAGACGAUUAUUUUCAUUUUGAUUCAAAAUUUUAAAAAUGUCAUAGAUACAUGUCAUAAUGUAUAGACGGAUUCAUUUGCUUUCACCACCGACUGCAAAGUUGAAAUAUCAAAUAAUCAUCAAGAGUUUGCUGCAGAGUCGCCACCUUGUGGUAAAACAGAUAAAUGAUCGCUCAUCAGCACCUGUUGGUAAUUUAGGAGUUAAUUUAGUUAGAAAGCUCAAAAUGGUUUUGCAGCUUCAGGGAGAUUUUUUUGUUGUUGUAAUUUUUGGUCAAAAAGGGUCUUUAAAGUUUUAAAUAUGUGUUUUUCUGAGCGAUGAGUCGGUCAGCUGCUGAGGAGAGCGGGACGUUCGGUGGGAGGACUUCAGCGUCGGAGACGAACGGAUGAGACGAGGCAGAGAAGAAGAAGACGAGUGAACGGGACGGCAGCCCGGAGCUGGUCUG